GAUGAACGCUAGCGGGAGGCUUAACACAUGCAAGUCGAGGGGCAGCACGAGGUAGCAAUACUUUGGUGGCGACCGGCGCACGGGUGAGUAACGCGUAUGCAACCUACCCUGUACAGGGGGAUAACCCGGAGAAAUUCGGACUAAUACCCCAUCAAGAUAUUUAGAGGCAUCUUUGAAUAUUUAAAGUUCCGGCGGUACGGGAUGGGCAUGCGUAACAUUAGCUAGUUGGUAAGGUAACGGCUUACCAAGGCAACGAUGUUUAGGGGUCCUGAGAGGGUGAUCCCCCACACUGGUACUGAGACACGGACCAGACUCCUACGGGAGGCAGCAGUGAGGAAUAUUGGUCAAUGGGCGCAAGCCUGAACCAGCCAUCCCGCGUGAAGGAAGAAUGCGCUAUGCGUUGUAAACUUCUUUUCCAGGGGAAUAAAAUUUUGUACGUGUACGGAAUUGAAGGUACCCUGGGAAUAAGCAUCGGCUAACUCCGUGCCAGCAGCCGCCGUAAGAC
rnacentral:rRNA from 1 species